rnacentral:rRNA from 1 species
AUUCCAGCUCCAAUAGCGUAUAUUAAAGUUGUUGCAGUUAAAAAGCUCGUAGUUGGACUUCUGAUGUGGGACUGCGCCCCGGUAUUUUGCCGUUGGGUGCGGGCUCGCGUCUUCCUCUCGUAGUUGGAUGGUGCACUUAACUGGGUGCCUUCUGAAUAUGGGACCUUUACUUUGAAAAAAUUAGAGUGUUCAAAGCAGGCAAUCGCUUGAAUACAUUAGCAUGGAAUAAUAGAAUAGGACUUUGGUUCUAUUUUGUUGGUUUCUAGGACCGAGGUAAUGAUUAAUAGGGACAGUUGGGGGCAUUAGUAUUUAAUUGUCAGAGGUGAAAUUCUUGGAUUUAUGAAAGACUAACUACUGCGAAAGCAUUUGCCAAGGAUGUUUUCAUUG